rnacentral:rRNA from 1 species
UACGAAGGGUGCUAGCGUUGUUCGGAAUCACUGGGCGUAAAGCGCGCGUAGGCGGCUAUUCAAGUCAGAGGUGAAAGCCCUGGGCUCAACCCAGGAAUUGCCUUUGAAACUGUGUAGCUAGAGUGUCGGAGGGGAUAGCGGAAUUCCUAAUGUAGAGAUGAAAUUCGUAGAUAUUAGGAGGAACACCGGUGGCGAAGGCGGCUAUCUGGACGACAACUGACGCUGAGGCGCGAAAGCGUGGGGAUCAAACAGG